GACGAACGCUGGCGGCGUGCUUAACACAUGCAAGUCGAACGGAAAGGCCCUGCUUGCAGGGUACUCUAGUGGCGAACGGGUGAGUAACACGUGGGUGAUCUGCCCUGCACUUCGGGAUAAGCCUGGGAAACUGGGUCUAAUACCGGAUAGGAGCCAUUUUUAGUGUGAUGGUUGGAAAGUUUUUUCGGUGUAGGAUGAGCUCGCGGCCUAUCAGCUUGUUGGUGGGGUAAUGGCCUACCAAGGCGGCGACGGGUAGCCGGCCUGAGAGGGUGGACGGCCACAUUGGGACUGAGAUACGGCCCAGACUCCUACGGGAGGCAGCAGUGGGGAAUAUUGCACAAUGGGCGCAAGCCUGAUGCAGCGACGCCGCGUGGGGGAUGACGGCCUUCGGGUUGUAAACUCCUUUCGCUAGGGACGAAGCUUUUUGUGACGGUACCUAGAUAAGAAGCACCGGCUAACUACGUG
rnacentral:rRNA from 1 species